rnacentral:rRNA from 1 species
UGCGAGUGAGCGGGAAAGCUCAAAUUUAAAAUCUGGCGGUCUUUGGCCGUCCGAGUUGUAAUCUAGAGAAGCAUUAUCCGCGCUGGACCGUGUACAAGUCUCCUGGAACGGAGCGUCAUAGAGGGUGACAAUCCCGUCUUUGACACGGACUACCAGGGCUUUGUGAUGUGCUCUCAAAGAGUCGAGUUGUUUGGGAAUGCAGCUCUAAAUGGGUGGUAAAUUCCAUCUAAAGCUAAAUAUUGGCGAGAGACCGAUAGCGAACAAGUACCGUGAGGGAAAGAUGAAAAGAACUUUGGAAAGAGAGUUAAACAGUACGUGAAAUUGCUGAAAGGGAAACGCUUGAAGUCAGUCGCGUUGGCCAGGGAUCAGCCUUGCUCUUUUGCUUGGUGCACUUCCUGGUUGACGGGCCAGCAUCAGUUUUGACCGGUGGAUAAAGGCUAGGGGAAUGUGGCAUCUUCGGAUGUGUUAUAGCCCUUGGUCACAUACAUCGGUUGGGACUGAGGAACUCAGCACGCCGCAAGGCCGGGUCUUUUGACCACGUACGUGCUUAGGAUGCUGGCAUAAUGGCUUUAAUCGACCCGUCUUGAAACACGGACCAAGGAGUCUAACAUGCCCGCGAGUGUUUGGGUGGAAAACCCAUGCGCGUAAUGAAAGUAAAAGCCGAGAUCCCUGUCGUGGGGAGCAUCGGCGCCCGGCCCAGACCUUUUGUGACGGUGCCGCGGUAGAGCGUGUAUGUUGGGACCCGAAAGAUGGUGAACUAUGCCUGAAUAGGGUGAAGCCAGAGGAAACUCUGGUGGAGGCUCGUAGCGAUUCUGACGUGCAAAUCGAUCGUCGAAU